rnacentral:rRNA from 1 species
UACGUAGGGGGCAAGCGUUGUCCGGAUUUAUUGGGCGUAAAGAGCUCGUAGGUGGUUCGGUAAGUCGGAUGUGAAAUCUCCAGGCUCAACCUGGAGGGGUCAUUCGAUACUGCCGUGACUAGAGUUCGGUAGGGGAGUGUGGAAUUCCUGGUGGAGCGGUGAAAUGCGCAGAUAUCAGGAAGAACACCCGUGGCUAAGGCGGCUCUCUAGUACGGUACUGACGCUGAGACGCGAAAGCGUGGGGAGCGAACAGG